rnacentral:rRNA from 1 species
AUUGAACGCUGGCGGCAGGCCUAACACAUGCAAGUCGAGCGGUAGAGAGAAGCUUGCUUCUCUUGAGAGCGGCGGACGGGUGAGUAAUGCCUAGGAAUCUGCCUGGUAGUGGGGGAUAACGUUCGGAAACGGACGCUAAUACCGCAUACGUCCUACGGGAGAAAGCAGGGGACCUUCGGGCCUUGCGCUAUCAGAUGAGCCUAGGUCGGAUUAGCUAGUUGGUGAGGUAAUGGCUCACCAAGGCGACGAUCCGUAACUGGUCUGAGAGGAUGAUCAGUCACACUGGAACUGAGACACGGUCCAGACUCCUACGGGAGGCAGCAGUGGGGAAUAUUGGACAAUGGGCGAAAGCCUGAUCCAGCCAUGCCGCGUGUGUGAAGAAGGUCUUCGGAUUGUAAAGCACUUUAAGUUGGGAGGAAGGGCAUUAACCUAAUACGUUAGUGUUUUGACGUUACCGACAGAAUAAGCACCGGCUAACU